GUCGCAGUGGUGCAACUGGCGAGACACAGUAAACUUAAAAUUUACCACGACUGAUACGUUACGGGUUCGAAUCCCGUCUGCGGCA
rnacentral:tRNA from 1 species